rnacentral:rRNA from 1 species
UACGAAGGGGGCUAGCGUUGCUCGGAAUUACUGGGCGUAAAGCGCACGUAGGCGGUUUCUUAAGUCGGGGGUGAAAUCCUGGAGCUCAACUCCAGAACUGCCUUCGAUACUGGGAAACUUGAGUCCGGGAGAGGUGAGUGGAACUGCGAGUGUAGAGGUGAAAUUCGUAGAUAUUCGCAAGAACACCAGUGGCGAAGGCGACUAACUGGACAAGUAUUGACGCUGAGGUACGAAAGCGUGGGGAGCAAACAGG